AGCGAACGCUGGCGGCGUGCUUAACACAUGCAAGUCGAACGGAAAGGCCCUUCGGGGUACUCGAGUGGCGAACGGGUGAGUAACACGUGGGUGAUCUGCCCUGUACUUUGGGAUAAGCCUGGGAAACUGGGUCUAAUACCGAAUAUGACCGCGCUCUUCAUGGGGUGUGGUGGAAAGCUUUUGCGGUGUGGGAUGGGCCCGCGGCCUAUCAGCUUGUUGGUGGGGUAAUGGCCUACCAAGGCGACGACGGGUAGCCGGCCUGAGAGGGUGACCGGCCACACUGGGACUGAGAUACGGCCCAGACUCCUACGGGAGGCAGCAGUGGGGAAUAUUGCACAAUGGGGGAAACCCUGAUGCAGCGACGCCGCGUGGGCGACGAAGUUCUUCGGAAUGUAAAGCCCUUUUCUGGGGGACGAACAGGACGGUACCCCAGGAAGAAGCCCCGGCUAACUACGUGCCAGCCGCCGCCGUAAGAC
rnacentral:rRNA from 1 species